GUUGUGGAUAUUUACAGGUAUUCAUGUCAUUAAGGCAAAUACAGUAUAAUAAACCAGGUUGCAUCUGUACCUAUGGAAAACUGUGUAUUUACUACUAAAGUAGUAAGUAGUUUACUACUACUAAAGUAGUAAAUACACCUCACAUAAUUACCAUAUACAAAAAUAAUAAUUUAUAAGAGAGAAAAUAAUGUCAGCUCAAAGCAAAAGAAUCCCCACAGGAGUGAACUUUCUGUAUGAGAAACAUUGUAGGUUUAAUAAAACGUGUUUUAAAAGAGGCAAAAAGUAAACGUUAUCAACCAUUUUUAUUUUAGUUAUCCCGCCGUGUCCUCACAUCCACCCGUCUCCACCUCCUGUGUCUCCCAUAGUAAUUAAUUAAUUCAUCUUUCCCACCUGUGACUCGUUAACUCUAACUAAGCGACACCGUCUUUCCUUUCCGCUCAGCUCAUCUCCAUUGUUUUGACAUCGUCCUGUUACUGAUUGUGUCUUAGCUUAGCUGCCUCUGUACAUCUUUCUGCUGGACUGGACUUUGUUUCUGUUCUUAAGAACAGUUUCAUUUAUCGACCAUCUGAUGAAUCAUUCAAAAAAAGUCUGGAGGCACCAUGCCAUACACGUUGAUCCUGUCACACAGCUCCAGGGCUGUGGCCAUGGUGAACCAGCCUGUGCUGAGCCAGGAGUGGGAAAUCCUCCUGAAAGACAUGCAGGAUGUACAAGAACCACUGUUGACAAGUCCACAGCUCAUCAAACUUGAACAUGUUGCUUCGAGAAACUGUGAAGAUUAUCAGUUUGGGCAGAAGCUGCUUCAACAGCUGUAGUUUGUUGUACACGUGACCUCUUCCAUCCCGUCUCAUCAAGCUGCUAGGUCCCCAGAAAAUAAACACUGUCGCCUGACUGG